AUGCCGCGGUGAAUACGUUCCCGGGUCUUGUACACACCGCCCGUCACACCACGAGAGUUUACAACACCCGAAGUCGGUGGGGUAACCCGCAAGGAGCCAGCCGCCGAAGUGGGGUAGAUGAUUGGGGUGAAGUCGUAACAAGGUAGCCGUAUCGGAAGGUGCGGCUGGAUCACCUCCUUUCU
rnacentral:rRNA from 1 species